rnacentral:lncRNA from 1 species
UUUAUAUUUUGCUCUCUUAAAAUUUCAAAAAUAUUUUUUGGAGGGUACUGUGUUUAUGGAGAAAGUAAAAUGAUCAGAUUAUUCUUCCUUCUUCUAUAAGAAAAAAAUAAUUUUUUAAUAUAUUUUUAUUAUUUUGAAGGAUAAUUUUGAUAUAAAUUAUAAAAAAUGGACGGAAUAGUGAUGAAACUCUGACGGAGGGGGACUAAAUGCAAAAACUUGAAAUAUUAAGGAGGUAAAAUAUAGAUUUUGAAAGUUAGGGAGGAGAAAUAAAGUGGGUAUUUAGCCAAAAUAAAAUUUUGAUACGGCUUAAUUACAUUAUUUACUACAAUACCAUACUUUAGUAUUACAUUUAUUUGCCAUUUUCAUUACUAUUAACUAACAAUUUUAUUGUCACGCCCUACUUUUUAAGAGGUUGUUUAUUUUAAAACUAUUUUUAAUUUUAACACACUUAACUCUUUU